rnacentral:rRNA from 1 species
UCCGCGUUGGGUAUGAUUAGGAUGGUCACCUCCUUCUUCAUACUCGUAGCAGAUAGCUCAGUAACACGUGGCCAAACUACCCUAUGGAUCCGAAUAACCUCGGGAAACUGAGGCUAAUUCGGAAUACGGCUGUCCACCUGGAGUGGUGUCUGUCCGAAACGCUCCGGCGCCAUAGGAUGUGGCUGCGGCCGAUUAGGUAGACGGUGGGGUAACGGCCCACCGUGCCCAUAAUCGGUACGGGUUGUGAGAGCAAGAGUCCGGAGACGGAAUCUGAGACAAGAUUCCGGGCCCUACGGGGCGCAGCAGGCGCGAAACCUUUACACUGCACGAAAGUGCGAUAAGGGGACUCCAAGUGCGAGGGCAUAUAGUCCUCGCUUUUUGCGACCGUAAGGUGGUCGAGGAAUAAGUGCUGGGCAAGACCGGUGCCAGCCGCCGCGGUAAUACCGGCAGCUCGAGUGAUGACCGCUAUUAUUGGGCCUAAAGCGUCCGUAGCUGGCCAUGCAAGUCCAUCGGGAAAUCCGCGCGCUUAACGCGCGGGCGUCCGGUGGAAACUGCUUGGCCUUGGGACCCGGAAGGACCCGAGGGGGUACGUCCGGGGGUAGGGAGUGAAAUCCCCGUAAUCCCGGGACGGACCACCGAUGGGGAAAAGCCGCCUCUGGAAAAACGGGAUCCCAACGGUGAGGGGACGAAAGCCUCGGGU